rnacentral:rRNA from 1 species
UACAGGGGGGGCAAGCGUUGUUCGGAAUUACUGGGCGUAAAGGGCUCGUAGGCGGCCAACUAAGUCCGACGUGAAAUCCCCAGGCUUAACCUGGGAACUGCGUCGGAUACUGGAUGGCUUGAAUUCGGGAGAGGGAUGCAGAAUUCCAGGUGUAGCGGUGAAAAUGCGUAGAUAUCUGGAGGAAUACCGGUGGCGAAGGCGGCAUCCUGGACCGACAUUGACGCUGAUGAGCGAAAGCUAGGGGAGCAAACGGG